UACGUAGGGGGCAAGCGUUGUCCGGAAUCAUUGGGCGUAAAGAGCGUGUAGGCGGCCAGAUAAGUCCGCUGUGAAAUCUCGAGGCUCCAACUUCGAGCUGUCGGUGGAAACUGUCUGGCUAGAGUCCGGAAGAGGAGAAUGGAAUUCCUGGUGUAGCGGUGAAAUGCGCAGAUAUCAGGAGGAACACCGGUGGCGAAGGCGGGUCUCUGGGCCGAUACUGACGCUGAGGCGCGAAAGCGUGGGAGCAAACAGG
rnacentral:rRNA from 1 species